rnacentral:rRNA from 1 species
UACGUAGGGGGCUAGCGUUGUCCGGAAUUAUUGGGCGUAAAGAGCUCGUAGGCGGUCUGUUGCGUCGGUUGUGAAAACCUGGGGCUCAACUGGGGGGGGUCACGCGAUACUGGUCGACUCGAAGGCAGGAGAGGGUAGUGGAAUUCCCGGUGUAGUGGUGAAAUGCGUAGAUAUCGGGAGGAACACCAGUGGCGAAGGCGGGUCUCUGGGCCGAUACUGACGCUGAGGAGCGAAAGCGUGGGGAGCGAACAGG